AUGGUCAGCUUCUGUUGUAGCUCUGUCUGCUCUGAAUAGAGCUGUGGCCAAGGCCUCUGCCAGACCUGCUGCUGCUGCAGUUGCUGCCAGACCACCUACUGCAGAACCAUCUGCUACCAUCCCAGCUGCUCUGUGUCCAGCUGUUGCAGGCCCCAGUGCUGCCAGUCCCUGUGCUGCCCCAGCUGCUGCAUUUCUAGCUGCUGCCACUCAAGCUGCAGUGUGUCCACCUGCUCCAGGCCCAGCUGUUAUAAUCCCCAGUACUACCAGCCCUCCUGCUGCCACCCUUCUGCUGCACUUCUAGCUGCUGCCACCCUGGCUGCUGUGUGUCCAGCUGCUGCUGUCCAGUCUGCUACCAGACCACCUGCUGUGGUCCAGUCUCCUAUGAAUCCUCUUGCU
rnacentral:lncRNA from 10 species